UUUGUUUGAUGUCUGAGGCAGCACAUUUCCUUUUUCUUAGAGAACAGUCAGCAAGAUGGAUGUUUACCGAAAAUUGGUUGUGUUUGGCACAUAAUGCUUGCUCUGAUGUGUCUAUUGUUGGAGGAAAAGAAGUCAAAAAACAACCACCAUGGAUGGUGUCCAUUCAGAAGGACCAGCGCCAUACAUGUGGGGGAAUCCUGAUUCAAGACCAAUGAACCUAGAGAAUCUGUGACAGUUCUGAUGGAAACCCUGUCCCUAAAAAAAUUCAAACAAGGCGCUAAGCGUGACGGCAUCCUCAGUUAUGUGCACCCUAGAACAUUCAGUGUAAAAACUAAACAAGAUGACAUCAUGCUCAUUAAGGUUGGGGGACUACUAAUUCAAAAGUAAUGGAACCUUCUGACAAACUGCAAAUGUUAGAGGUGUCAGUCAUAGACAGGGACCUGUGCAACUGUUACUACAGCCAUGGUCCUCUGAUCACGAAAGACAUGCUGUGUGCAGGAAACAAGCUGGAAAAGAGAGGCACUUGUUUGGGAUAUUCCGGUAGACCACUGGAAUGUAAGAAAAACAUUGUUGGAGUGGUCUCAGGGUCAAGAGGAUGUGGUGAUCCCAAGAAACCAACUGUGUACACGUUUCUCUCUAAGAAGCACAUCUUCUGGAUCAACAGCAAUUCAACAGCACAACCUUUUAGGAAUGUAGAAAUAACAAUACAUCAAUUGCCAGCAAGUUUGUCAGGUAACAUGUGCUGUGUAAAAAAAAUAAAAAAUAAAAAAUACUGCUGCACACUUGUUUAUAGUUCAAAUUGUGCUAUAACUCUUAAAGGGAUAGUUCGCCCCAAAAAUGAAAAACCUCAUCAUUUACCCUUAUGCCACCCCAGAUGUGUAUGACUUUCUUUCUUAUGCAGAACACAAACAAAGAUUUUAAGAAGAAUAUCUCAGCUCUGUAGGUACAUACAAUGCAAGUGAAUGGUGACCAGACCUUUGUAGCUCCAAAAAAUCAAGUAAUCCAUAUGAUUUCAGUAGUUAAAUUUGUAUCUUCAGAAGCAAUCUGUAAGGUGUGGGUGAGAAGCAGAUAAAAAUGUAAGUCCUUUUUUUUACCUAAAUAUCUACUUUCUCUUUCACUUUUACAUCUGAAAGUCACAUGUGGCGCCUGUUUAGUUUUACUUUCACAUCUGAAAGUGAAAGUGAAGAUUUCAAAAUGACUUAAAUAUUGUUCUGUUUCUCACCCACACCUAUUAUAUCACUUCUGAUGACCAUGAGUCUGCAUACAGAAGGGAGGUUGAACAGCUCACUGGUGCAGUCAUAACAACCUGGAGCUCAACACGCUCAAAACAGUGGAGAUGAUUGUUGACUUUAGAAGGAACAACCCAACACUGACCAUGCUCACCAUUCUAAACAGCACUGUCGCAGCAGUGGAGUCAAUCAGGUUCCUGGGCACUACCAUCUUACAGGACCUGAAGUGGGAGACACACAUUGAUUCCAUUGUGAAAAAGGCCCAGCAGAAGUUGUACUUCCUUUGCCAGUUGAGGAAGUUCAAACUGCCACAGGCGCUGCUAAUCCAGUUCUACUCAUCAGUCAUCGAGUCUGUCCUCUGCACUUCAAUAACUGUCUGGGUUGGUGCAGCUAUGAAAUCGGACAUCAGAAGACUACAAAGGACAGUUCGGACUGCUGAGCGGAUUAUUGGUUGCCCCUUGCCCUCCCUUCAAGAACUGUACACUUCCAGAGUGAGAAGGCUGGGAAAAUCACUCUGGACACCACUCACCCAGCCCACUACCUUUUGAACUGUUGCCUUCUGGCCGACGCUACAGAGCACUGAGCACCAGAACCGUCAGGCACAAGAACAGUUUUUCCCCUAAGGCUAUCCAUCUCAUGAACAGUCAAAACUAUACUAUAAUUACGUGCAAGACACAGCCUAGUCAAUUAUAUUAUUUAACACAUCCUAUCUCUUCUGCAUUACAUUCCCUUGCACUGUAUAUAACAGAUUUGUAUUUGUACAUACUAUAUGUAUAUUUUUGUCUUAUUGUGUAUUUCAAUAUAUACUUAUAUUUCUAUUCGCUCUUUAUUUUAAUUCUGUUUUUAAUUUUAUUUUCUCUGCUUGUUGUUGUAUUGUUUGUGCACUGGAAGCUUCUGGCACCAAGAAAAGUUCCUUAUAUUUGGAAGCAUACUUGGCAAUAAAGCUCAUUCUGAUUCUGAUUCUAAUAUGGUUUUAACCACUGGAGUCGUAUGGAUUGCUUUUGUGUUUCCCUUAUGUGAUUGUUGGAGCUACAAAAAUCUGGCCACCAUUCACAUGCACUGUAUGGACCUACAGAGCUGAAAUAUUCUUCUAAAAAUCUUUGUGUUCUGCUGAAGAAAGAAAGUAAUACACAUAUGGGAUGGCAUGAAGGUGAGUAAAUGAUGAGAGAAUUUUCAUUUUUGGGUGAACUAUCCCUUUAAGAAUUGUAUGUUGUUGGGCAUAAAUAUAUUCACAAGGCAGUAUCAGAAUAUCUUCUUACACCAUUCUUUAAACAUUUUUUUAUUUUUUUAUUUUAGGUUGUUUAUCAAGUUAUUGAGUGGUAAAUUGAGCUAAAUAAAAAACAUGUAAAUGGAUUGGGCAUUAUGAUAUCAAAAUAUCUUGAAUUAAUAUUUUCCUUUGUGCUUUAUUGAUGCAUAGACUCUCUUGUUAUGGUUAAACAAACAUGGGAAGAUGACCUACUUUCUCUGGAGAUACUUUUGAAAUGGAAUAAAAUUCUUUUUUAUGGUUUGUUUUCCCACAGAAAAUAAUUUUAUCCUUGAUUUUAUUCAUGCAGUUUUCACAAAUUUGAAGUGUCAUAGUUAUUUACUGGAAAUUGUUGUCUUUGUCUUCCAUUACAUUUAACACAUUCCACACUAAAGCACAUUAAAUAAAUCCCCAUGGGUUUUCAUGAUAGUCUUUGUAUUCAAAACAUAGUCAGACACUUCUUCUGAAUAUUUCAAAAUAUAAAAAACAAGUAGAGACCUCCUAGUGAGGACAAGCAGCAAAUAUCAUGCAGCUGAGGAAAGAAUAACACUGCAUUUGAAAGUACAUAUGAAAAUUGGUGCAACAGAGACAUGAAGUGUCUAUCACCAGCAAUAUAAUCAUUUAAGCUUAUACUAUUAUUACACUGUUUUUCUCUCCACUUCUCUCCUAAAUUCACAGAUAGUCUACAUUAAACUUCAAUGUGUAGGCCCAAUUAACACACAGCAAACAUUGUUAUAUUAGUCAGUAAAAUGCAGUUCAUCAUAUUGAGACAUGAGAAGUUCUGCAAAGUUCUAAAAUUGCUCAGAGAAGAACAGGCUUGAGCAGAGAUGAAACUGAGAGACAGUGAGGCAAUUGUGAAAGAAUAGUUUAUGAAUGUACAGUAUAUAUGUAUGUUACAGAAAGCGUUAUGAACAGGAAUUAUUUAAGUGUUCACAGUAGAGAUUUCUUGAAAGUUGCAAGGGAAUCGUCUGUUCGGGUAGGGCUGGAUUCAAUGACUUAUAUGACAUUUUUAGAUGAUGCCAUUAAAGAUAAUGUAAAAGGGCAUUGUAUCUAUGUCAUUCUACAGUAUAUAUACUGCUUAGUCAUGAGAAUCUUUAAAAUCUUUUUGCAGUUGAUGUGUGAGAGUGUUGUUGGGACUUUAAUCAGUGUAAGUGGAGAUACAAGUCUCCAGUCAAUACAAUCAGAAUACUCUGUGGUCUCUGCCAGUUUAUAGUCUCAAAGUGGAUAGCAUCUGAAGGUCUUUCAAAGCAUCUGAUGCAAGGCCAUCUACAAAUCUGCUCUCUGCAGGAAGAGAAGAGAGAGAGGUUGAGUGAAAUGCCAGGGAAGUUAUAACAGAACAGUACUACCCCCUCCUGGACUGAGAAAUUUAAUUAUCAAGCAUGUAUUUCAACUCUUUUUGGGCAAGGUUCCCUCUAAGGGAUAUCAGCGGUAGAGCGCAUACUCAUUUAUUUACAUUCUGUUAUCCUUGCCUGACAUCUAGAAUUUGUUUACAUUUUUAAGUUAGUGCAUCAAAGGCCCCUAUGGGACAUUUACAACCUGAUAAUUGGGACGCACAGCUUUAGAUGAACCUCCCAAUUUGAAUAUAUUUAAAGUAAUGGUGCCCUCAUUUGCCUUUGAAAUGUUGUUUUGAAAUCUUCAUAGUAAUGCAUUUUUGAUAUUUUAUAUGUCAUUUGUAAAAUGUUUUUAGUUUAAGUGCCAUAAAAGUCUAGUGAUUUCAGAUUAUGUUAUGCAUAUUAAAAUGCGGUCAUUCAAUAUGAUCUAACCAAAUAUUCAACACUGAGGGGAACCAAAUAUCAAAUGUAAAAAAUCAGUAAUUAAAAGGCACAUAUUUAAUGACCACUAAUCUGAAUAGGCCUAUUGGAAAUGCCCCCUUCUCCAGACCUGUCCACGUGAUGAGGACAAGUUGUCUCCACCAAUAACAAUCAUGAAUCUAUGGUAGAUACAGCAUGUUGUGAAGAAACACAACAGAACAAGGAGCAAUCACAUUAUUUUUAUGAUGAAAAAAUAAGCUUAUUGCUACU